GCAUAAUCAUUAGUUUUUUAAUUGGAGACUGGAAUGAAAGGUAGAUACUAAAAAGAUUGUUUUAUUUAAUGAUUUUGAAUUUAAAUUAAAAGUAAAAAUGCUUUUAUGAAUCUUUGGGACGAGAAGACCCUAGAAGCUUAAAAGUUUAAUAAUUUUUUUGUUGGGGCAAUAGUUGAAGAGAUUAAUUUUUAAUAUUAGAAAAUAGAAGUAUAAAGUUACUCUAGGGAUAACAGCGUUAUUUAAUUAGCAAGUUCUUAUUAAUAAUUAAGUUUGCGACCUCGAUGUUGAAUUAAAA
rnacentral:rRNA from 1 species